CCUACGGGGGGCUGCAGUGGGGAAUAUUGGACAAUGGGCGUAAGCCUGAUCCAGCCAUGCCGCGUGUGUGAAGAAGGCCUUCGGGUUGUAAAGCACUUUCAGUGGGGAAGAAAGCCUUGGGGCUAAUACCCUCGAGGAAGGACAUCACCCACAGAAGAAGCACCGGCUAACUCCGUGCCAGCAGCCGCGGUAAUACGGAGGGUGCGAGCGUUAAUCGGAAUUACUGGGCGUAAAGCGCGCGUAGGCGGUCUGAUAAGCCGGUUGUGAAAGCCCCGGGCUCAACCUGGGAACGGCAUCCGGAACUGUCAGGCUAGAGUGCAGGAGAGGAAGGUAGAAUUCCCGGUGUAGCGGUGAAAUGCGUAGAGAUCGGGAGGAAUACCAGUGGCGAAGGCGGCCUUCUGGACUGACACUGACGCUGAGGUGCGAAAGCGUGGGUAGCAAACAGGAUUAGAUACCCCAGUAGUC
rnacentral:rRNA from 1 species